GUAAACCGCUUUCAGCCGGAAAGAAAUCGCCGUUUUUAAUACAGACGGUGGAUGACGGUACCGGAAGAAGAAGCACCGGCUAACUACGUGCCAGCAGCCGCGGUAAUACGUAGGGUGCGAGCGUUAAUCGGAAUUACUGGGCGUAAAGCGUGCGCAGGCGGUUUUGUAAGCCAGACGUGAAAUCCCCGGGCUUAACCUGGGAACUGCGUUUGGAACUGCAAGACUAGAGUGUGUCAGAGGGAGGUGGAAUUCCACGUGUAGCAGUGAAAUGCGUAGAUAUGUGGAGGAACACCGAUGGCGAAGGCAGCCUCCUGGGAUAACACUGACGCUCAUGCACGAAAGCGUGGGGAGCAAACAGGAUUAGAUACCCCUGGUAGUCCACGCCCUAAACGAUGUCAACUGGCUGUUGGGAGAGAAAAUCUUUCAGUAGCGAAGCUAACGCGUGAAGUUGACCGCCUGGGGAGUACGGCCGCAAGGUUGAAACUCAAAGGAAUUGAC
rnacentral:rRNA from 1 species